UACGUAGGGGCCUAGCGUUGUCCGGAUUUAUUGGGCGUAAAGAGCUCGUAGGCGGUUCGGCAAGUCACGUGUGAAAUCUCCACGCUUAACGUGGAGGCGCCACGUGAAACUGCCGUGACUUGAGUCCGGUAGGGGGGUGUGGAAUUCCCGGUGUAGCGGUGAAAUGCGCAGAUAUCAGGAGGAACACCGGUGGCGAAGGCGGGUCUCUGGGCCGAUACUGACGCUGAGGAGCGAAAGCGUGGGGAGCGAACAGG
rnacentral:rRNA from 1 species